CUCAAUAUCAGUACGUAUUCUAAAUGUUCACCUCGAAUGUAUAUUGUGUGCAUUUACCUUCGAACAAUCAUUCAGAAGAGUUCACCCAAAAAGAUAACCCGCUGAAAAUGUCGGGUAUGACUACCAUUUUUACAGGUAUGAGUGGUUUGUGUAUUUGUUGUAAUUCUACACCUUUUCAUAUAUUUUAAUGAGUGUAUUUCUGGAUGAGCAAGGGUUGUUAAAACAUAAUUGGAGAACAUAAGAAUAGGGUUUUCGAUUAUGAUUUUCUGGACCACAUUUGAUUGCGACAAUCAGCAAUUAUAAGGUAAUUACAUGAAACUAAUGUGAGGUUAGUUCACACACGUUCAACAGGCUUUGGACCUUUGAUUCUGUUUAAUAUCAUUUAUCUUUGGACAUAAUUCUCCUACUUUAUUUCAAUGAUAGAAAACAUGUUUUCUUUAGUUUGUUUAUAUGUACAUUUUACAAUGUAUAUCUAGUUUUGUGUAUAACCCACAUGACUUCUGCAAUGGUGACCAAUAACGGAUGUUAUGACGUAGAUACAACAGCCUGUCAGAGCUUGGCGCGUGUAAUUGACGUAUGCUGCCACGCCUGCUUUUCCUCAUUAUGUCGAAGAUCGUGCGAAGAAUGUUGUAUGUACAUGUGUUCUUCAACUGAAGAAUGAGAAUGUCUUUUAAAAGUAAACUUUGUGUGAAAAGCUUAUUCAAUUGGAGGCUUGCUUUUUUAAUUGAUUAAAAGUCUGUCAUCCAUAAAAAAAAAAUCAUGUAACUAUAGAUGCCUCAUCAACGUUUAAAUCUCAUACAAUAUUAUUGAAUAAAUGAUCCUAAAGGUACAUAAAUUUAAGGCCAAAUUACAUCAGUGUCAUGAUACUUCUUAACCUUUCAAUAAGAAUUGCUACUUAUGAAUGUGAUUGUUUUAGCAAAGGUGUGUUAAAACAAUGAUAUAGAUUACACUUUUUAAUCAAAAUGAUGCUUCAAUAAUGAUACAUUGAACGUUAGGAGCGAGAUUCGCUCAUGACCGACUAGGAGGGAUCUAAACGCGCGGGAUUGGGAAGAUCGCAGAUCAAUUUAGGUAUAGAUCUACAUAGUUUGAAGAUUUUAUUUUCAUAAAAAAAUUCUCUAGACAACACAAAGAAAUAUUAGACCCACAAAAUUAAUAAAGCUACAGUAUUCUAGUUGUACUUCCUAUCAAUAUAUUUUUGUUGUUCUGUGAUUUCUGAUUUGUUAAUUCUUGAAAUUGGUCAUUUAUUCGUCUAUUUAAAGGUCUGCAGCCAGCUGUUUGGUACCACUAUGUUCGGGCGGGAGGUUAAAAAGCGUGCCAAUAUGGGGGGGUCUAUGCUUCAAUACAAACCUGUGCAAUAACCACCCGCCUCCACCAGGAUCUCUUGGCAAACGAACCUUAAAAUCAAUGAAUAGAAACAAUUCACAGGAAAAGAGUCGUUUAAGUAUGAAUUGAAUUGAAUUUUAAUGAAUGCGUCGCUCUCAUAAGCAUCGAUUGUAUUUAAUUCUUAUUUAGCUAUCAUUUUAUGUACCUUCACUGUUGAUACCAGACGUGGCUCAUGACAAGAUAUAGACACAGGCGCGUGCCAAAGAAUGCUUUCAUACCGAAGUGAUCUGUGCAGCAUGCAGUGCUUUAACGAAGCCUGCCCAACAGCAUGCAGCUCUUGUAUUCAGUGUUACACGUGCGACCAUAUCCAACAUCUAGGCUUAUUUAGAAACAUAACCACAUGUUUAAAUGGAGAGAAAUGUUAUGUCUUAGCAUCGAUGUCCACCAUGACUGGAGAGCACAGCUAUAGAGUAGGAUGUAUGCACCAAAAUGUAAGUGAUUUACAACCAUGCACACGAGGCGUAUUGGGUAUAUUAUUUAUACUCAUUACCUAUCACGAAUGUCCUCUUUCUAUUUAUCUAUCUACUGGUGUCAUUACUGCAAAUUUUGUUCACAUUUUAACGGAAUGUAUUAAAAGACAUUUAUGUUUGUGUCAAUAUGUUAUCAUUUGCUACUAAUUUGCAUUCUGUACCUUUUUUUUCAUUUCAAGGCAUCAAAUGUAUUGGUCUGCUAUACCGGAUACAGUGGAGUCAAUCUGAAUUCGAAACUACAUGCAUGUUUUGUUUAUUUCGCAUGUCUCAAUGGAUAUUUCUUUCAGUCAUGUAAAGACGUCAAAACCUUUAGAUGAAGUACCACAAAUUUUGAGCUCAGCAUGGGGCUCAAUGCUGUAUUAAUAUGUGUUCUUUAUCGUACCGUGACACAUGGUAUCUGGUUUUAAGAGCGUAUGUGAAAGAUCCUUAACUUACCACUACCCGUAGUUGUAGCCUUAAAGACCUACAUUUUGAUUUGCUUUUUUAUUUUGACACUUAAAAUUCCUGUCUCUCUGGCUGACAAAGAAAACAAUGAUAGUGAAAAAUUGCCAUUGAUAUACAUUCUAGGUAAUAACAAAGAAAACAUCAACAUUUCAAACUGAAAUAUGUUUUACACAUACGUAGCUGUGAAACGUAAUCCACUAAAUGCAUGCAUUCCGGGUGCUGAUAUUACCAGAUGCAAAGUAUUGCCCCCAAGCACAAUAGGUAUACAAUAUGUGAUGCAUAAACAAACCACGAAAUCCUGUAUUAUUUUAGGAAAUAAGUGUAAAUGCCCCAAUUUUGUUCCUGAAAAAACAAAUAACAUAUGGCGAGCUUAAAACAUAACAAUCGACACAUGAGUAAUGUUUUUUACGAAUUUACAUACAGGCAUGUAGCCAGCUGAUGCAUGUUUUCCUGCGCCAUUUGGUAAACGCGGCGAUUCUUUUGAGCUCCACAUCGGUGGUGCCUGUUGUUUGGGGUCGCUUUGUAAUGACAACAUACCUUCAAAUCCGACCACUACAAGCACUACAUCUACGACAAUCACAAUGCGACCGACCACAAUAUCAACACACAUUCCGAGCCCGACGUCUAUGUUUCCUGUACAAACCACAUCCAAAUCAGGAGCCAGUAAAGAUCCACUGGGUUGUGACUAUCCAAACAACCGUGGAUGUCCGGUAACACACACUGAAUUUAAUGGGAAGUGUUUCCUGAUAUCCGAUACCCCCAUAGAUUUUAUUUCUGGCAAGCUUUACUGCGCUCACCAUUGCUCUCUGAUUUCUGAAGACUUCAGUUCUGUUAUACGACAAGUAAUCAGAUUCAGCAGGGAACAGCUACACGAUCAGUCAACCAGUGUAUAUAUCGGAGUUCAGGACAAGAAUCAAGAUGGUCAUUUUACUUGGAUUUCAUCCGGGUCACCAGCGUUCCCGCCUCAAACUCCACGACAGGGGAAAUAUUGCGCCACGUUAAACAUCGACUCCAUGCGUCCAACAGCUGUGACAUGUACAGAAAUGUAUUAUGUUCUCUGUGAGGCAUUCUAUAGGUCAUGAGUGUGUUGAUAAUGGUGAUGAUUUGUUUAGUUUACAAUACAUAGCUUGUGAUGUUGAAAUAAACAAGAUAUUAAAGCUUGCAAAUUUCUAAUCAAUACAAAUACUACUGAAUAGUCA